AGAAGAGAACAAUUUUGAAGAGAGACAAAAGGAAAGUUUGGAGAAGUGCUGCAGUAGGCUGAGAAAUCCAAAAGAAGCCCUAGGUAAGGGGCAUCUGGCUUGUGUAGAAGGGAGGCAAGAAGCCCCUUCACAAG